rnacentral:rRNA from 1 species
GACGAACGCUGGCGGCGUGCUUAACACAUGCAAGUCGAACGGAGUGGCGAACGGGUGAGUAACACGUGUGUGAUCUGCCUUGCACUUCGGGAUAAGCUUGGGAAACUGGGUGUAAUCACGGAUAGUACAGGAUGAGCUCGCGGCCUAUCACCUUGUGGGUGGGGUAAUGGCCUACCACGGCGUCGACGGCGAGACGGCCUGUGAGGGUGUACGGCCACAUUGGGCCUGAGAUACGGCCCAGACUCCAACGGGGGGCAGCAGUGGGGAAGAUUGCACAAUGGGCGGAAGCCUGAUGCAGCGACGCCGGGUGGGGGAUGAAGGCCUUCGGGUUGUGAACGCCUUUAGGCAGGGACGCGGUACCUGUAUAAGAAGCACCGGCUAACUACGUGCCAGCAGCCGCGGUAAUUC